UGCGUAGGCGGAAUAUUAAGUCAGUGGUGAAAUCCUGCGGCUCAACCGUAGAACUGCCAUUGAUACUGAUAUUCUUGAAUGUAGUUGAGGUAGGCGGAAUGUGUAAUGUAGCGGUGAAAUGCUUAGAUAUUACACAGAACACCGAUUGCGAAGGCAGCUUACUAAACUAUGAUUGACGCUGAGGCACAAAAGCGUGGGGAGCGAACAGGAUUAGAUACCCUGGUAGUCC
rnacentral:rRNA from 1 species